UCUUUCCAAUGCACUUUAAUGCACGCACCAGCCCACGGUCCCUGCCUGCUGGCUGGGCAGAGGUCGGUGUCGGGUUCUAGGUAAGAGAUGUGUGCGUGGAAGAAGCCGGCCGCAUUGAACUUUGGCAGGCACACGGGAGUCCAAGCCUCGCCCUCACGGAAGGAUGAGGAGGAGCUAAUGAGGUUGAAAAGCAGGCAUCACCAGCCUCUGGUACACGUCAGCUCUCAGGGAAGAUGUAGGUACUUAUACUCCUGACCUUCAACCACAGACAGUGUCAUUCUUCUCUUUGAUUUCCUUUACAACACUGACCAAUUAUAGUCACUCCAGUGGUAUCCCCCAAGAGCGCAGGCUUACUUACCUUCUCCAUCCA
rnacentral:lncRNA from 1 species